rnacentral:rRNA from 1 species
GUGUCAGCAGCCGCGGUAAUACGUAGGGUGCAGGCGUUAAUCGGAAUUACUGGGCGUAAAGCGUGCGCAGGCGGUCUUUUAAGUCAGAUGUGAAAUCCCCGGGCUUAACCUGGGAACUGCGUUUGAAACUGGAAGGCUAGAGUGUGGCAGAGGGGGGUGGAAUUCCACGUGUAGCAGUGAAAUGCGUAGAGAUGUGGAGGAACACCGAUGGCGAAGGCAGCCCCCUGGGCUAACACUGACGCUCAUGCACGAAAGCGUGGGGAGCAAACAGGAUUAGAUACCCUGGUAGUCC